rnacentral:lncRNA from 1 species
GUCUUUACAUAGUCAAAUAGAAAAAAGACGUCAAUAAUGCUUUCUAGAAUCAAUACUUUUCUUUACAUUGCUAUUGUGGACAAUUAUUUGAAUGGAUAUUUGGAUUUUAUAGGCUAAAUCCAAAAUAUUAUUGUACAGUAAAAUUGGAUAACUAACAACCGAAAGUAUGGCUAGAGAAACAAGUUGUUCUUCAGUAUCUUGCACAUAGAUAACGCCAUAAUGACAGCAAUGAGAAAGACAUGAGGAAAAGCAAAAUACUUAAGAAAUACACGAGAUAAAAAAACAUGUUCGAGUGUAUGCCGAGCAAGAUCGGUUGUUGAUAUUAUUACUCCAACAGCAAAAGAACCCAAAAGAACUCAAAUGAACAAACUUCUCCCGUUAAAUUUAUGUCCAAAUGUACAAAAAAUGGUUGGCAGACAAAGCUUGACCAGAAAAUUCGAAACAAUAGCAAAGAACAGCUCAAAGAUUCAAUGUUAAAUGCGAAUCAAACCACGAACGAGCGCAGAACCCGGAAAAACCUCGAACUCAAACUCGGAUCUCCUAGGUGCAACUCCGUUUCUGUUUUGAUUUUGUGAAGGAGAUGGGGUAACGGUUAUGGGGGCCUGCUUCUUGGUAGUUGUUGCUGGAGCUUCUUCUGUGGAACUCGAAUGAAGGUGAAGAAACAGGGGCCUCUAGGAGAUGAAUGGGAGCGACUCCGUCUCUGUUGCAGAAGACGAACGAAAGGGGAUGUCGUUUCGGAUACUGAACGAUGCUGAUCGUUCUUCAGGGAGAGAUCUUAGGCAUUUUUUGGUCUGUGUCUUGUGCUGAAACACUGAAGAAGAAGAAGAAUAAGAAUAAGAAGAAGAAGAAGAAGAAGAAGAAGAAAAAGAACCAGAGGGGGAGGGGUCUAUCGUUCUGCGCAGCUUUUUCAGCUUUUUCCCCUUGAGCCUUAUCUCUCUUCCCCUCCUUCUUUGGCUGAUAGGCGUUACUCUUAUAGGG